rnacentral:rRNA from 1 species
CCUACGGGAGGCAGCAGUGAGGAAUAUUGGUCAAUGGACGCAAGUCUGAACCAGCCAUGCCACGUGCAGGAAGACGGCUCUAUGAGUUGUACACUGCUUUUGUACGAGGGUAAACGCAGAUACGCGUAUCUGUCUGCAAGUUUCGUACGAAUAAGGAUCGGCUAACUCCGUGCCAGCAGCCGCGGUAAUACGGAGGAUUCAAGCGUUCCCCGGAUUUAUUGGGUUUAAAGGGUGCGUAGGCGGUCGGAUAAGUUAGAGGUGAAAUCCCGAGGCUCAACUUCGGAAUUGCCUCUGAUACUGUUAGGCUAGAGAGUAGUUGCGGUAGGCGGAAUGUAUGGUGUAGCGGUGAAAUGCUUAGAGAUCAUACAGAACACCGAUUGCGAAGGCAGCUUACCAAGCUACUUCUGACGUUGAGGCACGAAAGCGUGGGGAGCAAACAGGAUUAGAUACCCUUGUAGUC